AUGCUGAGGAAGGGGGGGGGGGCAGUUCCCCGUCUCUCUUCCUCCCUCUCCCCUCUCCCUUCCUUCCUUGUCUUCUCUCUCUUCCUUUCCAGCCCCCUGCACACAGAGAUAGCUCGCUCGCUCGCUCUCUCUCUCUCUCAACCUGCUGCCUCCAGAGAGGUGGGGAGGCCCCUCCCCCUGUUCCUCCCCUCCCUGCCCCCCCCUGGGGCCCACACUGCCGCCCCCACACCGGCAGGCAGGCAGCGGGUUACUUUCCCGGGGCAGCAUGCGCGGUGUUCCUGGGCAGGGCUACCCAAGGUGUCCCGGGCCCCUUCCCCGGGGAGGGGAGGAGGAGGGGGAAGGCUCGGCUAGUCCAGCCCCCACUCCUGCCCUCAGUGACAGAGCAUCCCUAAGCGCGUGGCCGGAUCUGGGGGCGUCCGGCGCCUCCACCCGUUGCCAGGGCUUCCCCCCUCCCUCUAGCCCAGCAGGACCCUGGGCUCCCCCCCUCGGUCUCCCACCCCCCGCCCCCGAGCCUUUGUCUGGGGCGCGAAGCCCGAACUCAAGCGCCCUCGGUGCCAGGGGCCGCUCAUCUGAGCCCGGGAGCCUGGGGAGUCUCUAAGCAACCCACAAGUGCCCUGCUCGGGCUCCGGGCUCCGGUUACCACCUGGCAGCGCCCCCGACGUCCCGGGACCGGGGCCGGAGCCAGCCCCAAGGAGGCUGGCAAUGCUGCCCCUUCCCCCACGGGGCCGGGAGAUCGGGGGUCCAGGAGCAGUGCAGCUCCCCCUCCCCCACCCUCAGUCUGCUCCGCUCCCCGCGGGCCCGGGACACGCGCGCACACGCACCCGCACACACCCACGCACCCUCUACCCCCACCCGAGAGCAGCCUAGGGUUACAUUACGGGGAGGGGGCGGCGCUGCUCCGACUUUGUCCCGCCCGCCGUCCCGGUCCGCAAAGCCGCUGCUGCCUGGCUCCCGCUGGCCGCUGACCGCGCCGCUCCCUGGCCGGGCUGCCCGCCGUGCACUGGGCGGCCUCAGCCGGGACGGGGAGGCGGGGCCCAGCGCCCACCUGCUCUCGUUGCUCCUACCCGGGUGGCGGCCGCUCCCCGCGGGCCCGGGAAGUGUCAGGCGGCCGCUGGAGGCACUCACUCCCUCGUCGUGCCCGGCGACCUUGGCCCAGAACGUCCGUCUCUCCGCUGGUUGAGGACUUAAGUGCGGGCCGGCCAGGCGUCCACCCCUCUGGGAACCAGCCGUCUCCGAGCAUCGGGCCCCGCUGGCCACUGGCUCUUCCCGAGCAGCCGGCUCUAGACAUCCCCUCCAACCCCGGGAGCCCACAUCUAGCCUCCGAGAUUCCCCCACUUGCCCGGACACCCUCUUUCCCCCUCCCUCCCCUCACAGAGAAAGAAAACAACGUGGCCAAGGUCACUGGACUCUAUACGGAGUGCCCUUCCUACUGUACCAUCUAGGAAUGAGCCUCGGACCCAGAGCCGGGACCGUGACGUUGUCUCCCUCCCCUGGUCCGUCCCACCACCCAGAAGGGGGAUCGCAGAAAUCAUCAAAACAACGACUGACCCACCUGAUACAUCUCUGUGUCCAUUCACACAUGCAUACAUAAGUCUUCAAGUUUAUCGGCCCAGGAGAAUGGGUGAUCUGGACGCUGCCUUUUGGAAGAAUGGGCCGGCAGUCCAGGAAAGACCUAGCAGUGCUACCCGAGCUUGACUUCCAAGGACCGCAUUCCCACCCCGCCCCCAAACUCCUCCUUCCCAUCACCCCAUUCUAGAGCAGCUGCUCUCACAAUCAAGUCCAUUGACCACUUGUGGGUCCAGGGUCUUUGCAGCUGGCCAGGGGCCAGAUCUCUUUAACUGCGAUUACGCACAACAGGACAAAUGUCUACACUUGUGUUUGGGUCUUGUGUUAGAGGUGGGGUCUCUGGUGCCUCCCUAGAAAUGCAGCCCUUCCGCCUUUUAAUACAUCCAGGGGUGUGGAUGUAUUUUUGGCAGUGGUGAGGCCGGCCCAGGAGGACUUUUUCCUCUUGGUCUUGGCAGUAGUCCAAGAACCAUUGUUUAGGGAGGAGGACUGUGUGUGUCCAUGGGAGGAGCCCGGUCCGGGGUCCCCAAACAAGAAACGGAGCCUAGUGCCAGGACUUUAUAGGGAAGGGCUUCGAGGGAAGUGGGCAGAGGCAGGAAAACACCUCUGAAAGCCCUGAGAGUCCUCAUCAAUCCAAUGGCUUGCCAGGAUCUCCAAGGACCAGUGAUGAAGGCUGCUGCUCAUCACCUGCCAAAGAGAUGCCCAGAAGGAGCCCCACGUUUCUGGACAAGCUCAAAGAAAGAAUGUAGUUUGCUUGGCUAUAUUUGGGGGUGAAGAGAAGUGGGAGAAGGAAAUAUUUGUUCAUAGAAAAAAAUAAAAUUUAAUUAAAAAAAUAAACA
ensembl:lncRNA